CUAAACCGGGAGAGGAUGUCUGAGACUGCCGAUCUAGAGUGAGGUAGAGGGGUGUGGAAUUCCGCGUGUAGUGGUGAAAUGCGUAGAGAUGCGGAGGAACACCGGUGGCGAAGGCGGCACCCUGGACCUUGACUGACGCUGAGGCGCGAAAGCAUGGGUAGCGAACGGGAUUAGAAACCCCGGUAGUCCAUGCCGUAAACGAUGUGCACUCGAUGUUCGUCCCGCACUGCGGGGGGAGUGUCUAAGCAAACGCGUUAAGUGCACCGCCUGGGGAGUACGGUCGCAAGGCUAAAACUCAAAGGAAUUGACGGGGGCCCGCACAAGCAGCGGAGCGUGUGGUUUAAUUCGAGGCUACACGAAGAACCUUACCUGGGUUUGACAUCGCGGUGGUAGCGAAGCGAAAGCGGAGCGACCUUCGGGAGCC
rnacentral:rRNA from 1 species